rnacentral:rRNA from 1 species
UACGUAGGGGGGCAAGCGUUUGUCCGGAGUUACUGGGCGUAAAGCGCACGCAGGCGGUCUUUUAAGUUUGGAGUGACAGUUGGUGGCUUAACUGCCAAAGUGCUUCGAAAAACUGAAAGACUUGAGGGCUUCAGAGGGACACGGAAUCCGGGUGGAGUGGUGAAAUGCGUAGAGAUCCGGAGGAACACCAAAGGCGAAGGCAGUGUCCUGGGGAGUACCUGACGCUCAGGUGCGAAAGCCAGGGGAGCGAACGGGG